rnacentral:rRNA from 1 species
CAACGAGUCGCAAGCUCGCGAGAGUAAGCUAAUCUCUUAAAGCCGUUCUCAGUUCGGACUGUAGGCUGCAACUCGCCUACACGAAGUCGGAAUCGCUAGUAAUCGCGGAUCAGCAUGCCGCGGUGAAUACGUUCCCGGGCCUUGUACACACCGCCCGUCACACCAUGGGAGUUUGUAACGCCCAAAGUCGGUGGCCUAACCUUUAUGGAGGGAGCCGCCUAAGGCGGGACAGAUGACUGGGGUGAAGUCGUAACAAGGUAUC